UUCUUAUAUUGUCGUCUUCCCAUGUCUUCUUCCAGUGAGUAUAGGCAGGGUCUCUCCCUCUCCCUCCUUUCUCUCCAACAGAGGGUGGUUGUUGGCCAUGGGUCAGGGGACUCAAAGAGGGAAAGUUGGCCUGGGAGUGCCCCCUAGUACUCACCUCUCAACCAGAAGGUGGAAGGGCAAGACAGGAAUGGUGGCUGAUGAUGCUGGCUGCUUUGUUCUGUCUCCAGGUCCCUCUGGGGGACUCAGUGGCAGGAAGGUUCUGGCAGCUUCAGGUCAGAGAACUCAAAGAGGGAAAGGUUGUGAGUUUUUUCUUUUCAAUCCAGCAACUUUGCUGAAAGUGUUAUCAGCUGUAGGAGUUUCCUGGUGGAAUUUUUAGGGUCACUUAUGUAUAACAUCUUCAAAUAUAGAUAAUUUUACGACUUCUCUUCUAAAAAGGAACAAGAUGGGACACAGGAUAUAUUAUUAACUGGUAAUUUAUUAAGAAGAGAUACUCACACAAGGAGCCAAUAACCAGAUUUGGCAAUCCGAGAAGCCCAGAUCCAGAUGCCUCAGAGACCUGGCGUGGACCCUGAGAGAGGAGGAGCCCCUGCUCUCCUCGUUCUUUAUCCUACCCCCUACAUAUCUGUAACCACACCCAAAUGGGCAUGGUCAGUGGUACAGGUAUCCAGGGCCUUUCCUUACACUCUUCCAACUUUUAUCUUCUUGAUCUCCUUUAGUUGUCUUAUUGUUCUAAGUAGAACUUCAAGUACUAUAUUGAAUAGGUAUGUAGGGAGUGGACAGCCUUGUCUUGCUCCUAAUUUUAGUGGAGUUGCUUUGAGUUUCUCUCCAAUUUAAGUUGAUAUUGGCUGUAGGCUUGUGGUAAACUGAAUGCCAAUUAACGUUCACACUAGAGAUGGAAACAACAUAUAAAUGAUGUUACUUUCAUAAUGUUUUAAAGUGGUCAAUGAUAUUUUCAGACUCAUACUUUGGAGUUGAAGGGGAUUUGUUAUAGGACAUGAGAAGGCAUUCUUUAGUCCUAAAGAUACCAUUUCAACGAUUUUCUCUCUAUCUCCCUGUCUCUGUGUGUUUGUAUCUUUUGAUGAUGAGUUCACAAUCCAGUAAUAACAGAGAAAGCAACUCUCUUCCAGUAUGGACAUCAUAUUUUGUUAUUAGCCAUAUAUAUUACACAAAUAAAGGUUUUUGGCUUUAGCAUUUUUUAUAGCAUUACAACCAUCAUACUACUCACAUUUGGGCUCCAUAACAUAAAAGCCAACCUGAGGGACUCCACCUUCUCUGCUUACUUUUAUUCAUAUUACUAGGGUAGAUGUUUCCCAAACCACAAACUUGGAACUACUGGUAACCAUGAUUUUGAUAUCUUUUCAUUUAUCAGAUCUAUUUAUGAUCAUUUCUCUUUUCUCAAUGUCCCCUUUAAGACGGAGGCUACAGUUUCUUGACCAGUGCAGCUUUCAAGGAGGUUGUCUUUCACCACCAUUAUAUAAUGAUUUCCUCCCAAUGGAAACAUCCCCUCAACCCUGACAGGAGGAGUCUCAUGAAAUUCAGGAGGAAACCAGCUUCACAAGUCUUGGAAAGUUGAAAUGUGAUCCACCUCCAAGUUGUAGACAUUGUAAACAUUUGCCAGAGGAGGAGACUCUGGUCAGCUGAGGUGCUGAGAAGAGACUCUUGGCCCUGUUGAGCUGCCUAUAAGUCACACAGAGAGCUCUAGAAUUGAUAGUUUUUGAGUCAUCAACCUGUUAGGAUGGGCGUUUAGUGAUACAGCUACAUCAUCCUUGAGUAAUCCUUGCUCUUUUAAGUAACCCUUCACCCACACUUCUGUGAGCAAUCUCAAUACAAACUCAUUGGUUUACUAAUGAUUUUGAUAGGAUAGUUACUUUGAUCUGUUGUAGGUUCUCUAUCCCAGGUGAGUAGGUGUGUGUGUGUGUGUGUGUGUGUGUGUGUGUGUGUGUGGUGUGUCUUCCUGGUAAAAGUCCCACACAAUAACCCUCACCCCUAGACUUCAAGACCAAAAUGCCAUCUUGGGUCCAUGGCUUGCCUUGAGUGCUUUUCUGUCCUAUUCACUCUGUUAUCAUGACUGUUGGCUGACUCAAGAGUUUAGCAUUAUUCAUCAGUUCUGGGAAACUUCUGAACAAAAGAUUUGGACAUCUGCCAAGUUCACAUAGAAGCAUGAUGGCAUAUCAGGGCCAGUGAGUCAGUCCCCAAGAAGACAUUUCUUCACUGGCUCAGUCCUCAUUUCCAGUAGUACAAGGUUAGCUUGGGACAUGCUACCCUUUUUCAUUGCCUGUGUUGCAAGGAGUUGGGUAACAAAUUCCCAAUGCCUUUGGGAUGUCUCAACCUAAAUUGUCAAUUGGUGCUAAAUGAUUGGACUCACAUCUUGGUGAAUAUAAAACCCAAAAUGAACACAGCCAAGAAGUAAAAGAGCUGAGAAAGGUCAUAUAUUAUCUAUUGCAGGGAAGAAGAGCAAAACAAUUAUUUCCAAUGCAAUGACCACUUUGAACAAGGGAAGCCUGAGGAUUUUGUUUUAGAAGCCUGUACAUAUUAAAUAGAAAGAUACUUUAGGAGUAGGCACAUUACUGAGUAUGCUCAGUUAAUAAUUGCUUGAAUAUGUUUAGUUUAAAGUCAUAGUACAAAAGGUAAAGAUCAUGGACAAAGUUUUGACAAGUUUAGCUGAAUAUUAUGGAACACAUGUUUGAAAAAUUAAAAUAGUAUGUAGUAACACUUUUGGUCUUCCAUUUUGGGCUUAUCUAAUGUCAUAAAACUGAUGGACAAGGAGGACCUCUGGGCAUGUUCGUGUUCUCCUGGUGUUUUAGCUGAGAACAAUAGAGGAGAUUUGUCUCUAGAGGUACCUGCCCUCCUCAGUGGUUACCAGCUUCUUGUGGGUGUCAUCAUCAUUAGGAGACACACAAUUAUGCUGCUCCUGAAUGUUAAUCUCUUCUUCAGUUCCCAAACCCUGCAACUAAUGUGUCUUAGAACUUUUUGUUGUUGGGGAAAGGGAUAGAGAUGGAGACAGAGUCUUUCUAUACAGCUAGAGAUCAGGUCUAGAGAUCAGGCCCUGCCUUGUAGACCAGGACUAUGUGUAACAGGAUUUCCUUGAAUUUGCAGUAAUUCUCCUUUCUCUCUCAUUUGCCAGGAUUCCAGGUGUGUACUGACAUGUCCAGUGGUCUACCUCUUUUAAAAGAGCCAUCUGUGGGAUUAGAAGCAUUAGGGAAGAUAUUGUUGGUAUAUGAGCAGUGCCCCUUCAUGUUCUGAUGUACCUGAACAAGGAAGACCAUAGAUUAUGAUUAUUACUCUGGAAUUCCAAAUCCUGACUGUGCAAAGCUCCAUGGUGAUGAAACAAUCAAGAAAAAGAUGAUGGAUACAAGGGGAGCACAGGUUCAGCGUCACAGGGACUGGGGAGAGGACUCAGCAGUUAAGAACACUGGCUUCUUUUCUUGAGAACCUG